rnacentral:lncRNA from 1 species
GUAUACCAGUACAUGCUAGUAGUUUGUAUGGCAUUAUCUUAAUCAUAUUAAAAAUGAAGGUGCAUUUCAUUGUACCAUUGAUAUUUUAAUAGCAUAAAAGUGUAUUAACAUUGUUAUUAAGCUUUUUAUACGACCGCAAAAAUUUUUUGGUCGUAUAUUGGUAUGACGUUGGUGUCGUCGUCAGCGUCCAAAGACAUUUGGUUUUGGUCCCAACAGUGUAGGAAUAAGGGGCCAAAAAGGGCCAAAAUAAGCAUUUUUAUUGGUUUUCGCACAAUAACUUCAGUAUGAGUAAAUAGAAAUCUAUGAAAUUUUAACACAAGGUUUAUGACCACAAAAGGAAGGUUGGGAUUGAUUUUGGGAGUUUUGGUCCAAACAGGAAUUAGGAGCCAAAAGGGUCCAAAAUUAAACUUUGUUCAAAAAAUAAAUUAUUGGGACUCUUUGAUAUGCCAAAUCUAACCGUGUAUUUAGAUUCUUUUUUUUGUCCUGUUUUCAAAAUGUUUUAAAUUAGUUUGAUUUUAACAAUAAUUGAAUAUAUGGGGUUCUUCAAUAUGCUGAAUCUAACCAUGUAUUUAGAUUUUUAAUAUUUUGGCCCAGUUAUCAAAUUGGUCCAUGUUGAGGUCUAAAGGGUCUAAAAUUGAACAUUAUUUGAUUUCAUCAAAAAUUGAAUUCUUGGAGUUCUUUGAUAUGCUGAAUCUAACCAUGUAUUUAGAUUUUGGAUAUUGGACCAUAAUAGGUAAAUGUCCAAUUUAGAAUUUUUAAGUUUUUAAGUUUAAGUUCUUAGACCACAUUCAUUCUGUGUCAGAAACCUAUGUUGUGUCAACUAUUUAAUCACAAUCCAAAAUCAGAGCUGUAUCAAGCUUAAAUGUUGUGUCCAUACUUGCCCCAACUAUUCAGGGUUCGACCUCUGCGGUUGUAUAAAGCUGCACCCUGCGGAGCAUCUGGUUAAAAGUUGUAUUACUUUUGAUAUUAAGCAUGAAUGUGUAUGACCAUAGAGGACCUUAGUGGCAGAGCAGUCUAAGUAGUUAAUCUAAAAUGACCACUAGUCAUUCAAUAAUUAUGUUGAAAGGUCCAACCCCUCACUUGUCUUCAUUGACAAGGACUGGCAGUUUUCAUGAUCAAGGUCAAAAUUAUCUCUCGUCUGGCUUCCACUUAUAAAAACUGACCACUAUGAUAUAGUUCAGAGUCCUAAUGUUGGCAUUUAUUAACAUCAACAAUCAAUCUAUUUCAUAUUAUUAUAAAUUUCAUGUAACCUUGAUCUUUAACCUUAAGGUUAAAAUAAUAGAUUAAUUAUGAUACUUUUUCAUCUGAGUGACAACCUUUUUAACAUUUGACUUAUAAAUUUCAUAUUUAACACAUUAAGUAGGUGUGUUACAUUUGAGAUAAUAUCUGAAUUGGUCUUUGAAUGAACAUUAAGUGAUUGAAUUUUAGGGAAAUCUUUCAUGUCUAACCUAAUAAAAACAUAUAUAAUAUUGUAUGCAUUAUAGUUUGACACCUGAAGUAAUCCCCCUGCUACCUCAUGUGAUAAGGAAACUUGGAGCACUCAUCCUUCUUUUUGAUGGGCUAUAUACUGAUAAAUCUUUUAAUUUUUCUUUUGAUUUUUUUGGUGGAAGAAGACUUCAAGUCUUUUGAAGACCUAUGGUGCCGACUUUAAAAUCAUUGAACGUCUGUAUGCCGCAUUCGUUUUUGUGUAUUACAAUUUAAUAACAACUUCCGAUUCCUGACACCUAUUUUUACACAUGAUUAGGAAUCUGAAUCAAUUUAUUUGUUAAUUAGGAUUGAAAAACAAUCACUAUCGUAAAUAUUUACCCUUUUAUUUAUGUAAAUUAUAAGAUUUCAUCUCAUCUACAUGAACGUUAUUUGUUUACUUGUAACCGGGUCUCACUAAUUAGCGACAAGAAGCGUCAAGAAGCCACAAGAAGAAUAAGUUUAGCGACAAGAAGCGACAAGAAGCUAUUUAGCGACAAGAAAACAUUCUUUUUUAUUAAAUAUAAAAAAUAUGCAUUAAGUCAUUUUUAAUAUACGGGAAGAAAUUAAUAGAUAAUUUUAAUUAUUAUAUUGAUAGAUGAAGAAAUUAAAUAUUUGUAAGAGCAAAUGAAAUGCACACGCUAUACAAUGAAAAUAAAAACAAAGAUUUUUCACCAUUCUUUUGAAGGAUUUAUUGAAACAAAAACACGAAAUAUUAUUUCCUUUCUAACUGUACGAUUAAUUUUUCCUGAUAGGACAAACAUUAGCUGUGGCUUCACCCUAAGGUAAUACACAAUGUAGAACAUCAAAUGAGAUUAACGAGGCACGUGUCCCUUGUUUUAUUGCUACAAUAACAUCCAAUUAAACGUAAUACUUGCUGUUAUACAUGUCAGACUCUAAAGUGUGAUGGUACUCUAAAGUGCGAUGGUCACGCUAUUUAUAAAGUCCUACAUACAUAAUAAAAUAUCAUGUAAAUAAAUCUAGCAACUGAAUUAGAUCUAAGUUUAUAAUUUUUUUUCUAUCAAUAUUAACUUUCCUGUCGUUAAAAUUGGUUUUUUUUGCAUAUUUUUUUAAUAUUUAUUUUGAAAAAGUCAUUUUAAUAAUUAAAAAAAAUAUUUUCUUGUCGCUAAAUAGUUUCUUGUCGCUUCUUGUGUUCCUUAUGAUAUGAUCCUUCUAAUUUACUGCCAAAUUAAAGAUUUUACCUAAUUUUCACAGUCCACUGAACAUAGAAAAUGAUUGUACGGAUGGGAAAUCCAUGUACUUAUGACACAUUCUUGUUUAAAGAAAAAAAAUAUGUCAUAACGAUAAUGGAACAAAGAAGGCUGGGUUAGUGGGACUGCUUUUAUUGUAAUUCAAGUUACCUUUUAUUCACCUUCUUCCACCUCAGAGCUAUCAGCUCUUUGAUUUAUGUAUUGUUGUUUGUGGUGUAUUUAUUUAUAGCAGUGGGGUUACUCAUUAAAAUUACUUAAUUAUCUGUUAUUAAUGUAGAUUAUAUGUUUUUUAAUACUCUCAUCAUUUACAUAUCAAAUUUGAAUUAUUGUACUAUAUACUAUUAUACUAUUGAAAUAUUUGUUCUCAAAGAAACUGGAAGAAAAGACAAGGACUUUUUAUGCCCCAUAUAGGGGUAUGAUGUUUUUUUGGUCUAUUGUCUGUCUGCUCGUGGGUAUGUCUGUCCAUCUGUCCCGCUUCAGGUUAAGUUUUUAGUUAAUGUUUUUUGUCAAGGUGGUUUUUGAUAAAGUUAAAGUUCAUUCAACUAGAAACUUACUGGUAGUUCACAUGUUCCCUUUGAUAUGAUCUUUCUAAUUUUAAUGCCAAAUAAGAGUUUGUAGUUUAAUUUCAGGGUACAUAAAAAAUGAAAGUGUGAGUGGGCAUAUUCUUGUUUUAAGCAAAGAUAUUUGAAGAACUGUGCCCCAAAAAAUUAUUUAUAUAUAACUUUACUAACACUAGUGUUUUGAAAGAUUAUUAGACUGAUAUUUCUGUGUUGUUAUUAACAAAGCAGUUAUGAAUGAUUUAUCACUCAUGCUUAUAAUCCUAUGUUAACAUGCAACAAGUUGUAGUAUCUAACAUAAUGUUUGAAUUAUUUCUAAGCUUCUCAUAUACAAAACUUUUUUUUCCUUUUUUUUCCCCCAAUACAUGUAGUUGUAAUUAAUAUGCGGCAGGCAUUACCUGUAAAUGGGGACGAAGUCGGUAUGAAUAAUUUUUUUGUAACUUAAAUAUUUGUUAAAAAAAAGAAACGGAAAUACCGUAACGUUUCCGAUUUUGGUUCUGUUGUUAGGGAUUUUAGUUGUGACGUUAUUUAAAUUAUGCAAUAUAAACAAAGAAACACUAUCAUCAGGUAACGUUUUUUCACAUCAAGGAAUUAUUAAAAAUGAAAUUGGUAUUGCGCGUUCCUUCCUAUCUUAUACUAGACUGAUAAAUAUAUAUUUUACUCAAAGUUUCAUACAAACGAGACCGGAAAAAGGAAGUACAUUGUACAUUUCUGCGCAGGUCCGGGAUUUCAAAACACGACAUAAAACAAAAUGAACGAUUUUGAGUUCAUUAGUACAAUGAAAAAUUCAGGAAAUUUUCCCAAAUUUUUUUUUUUAUUGAAUUUUCUACUGUUAUUGGGGACUUCGUCCCCAUAUGAAUCAGUAAGUAAACAUUUACAUGCUAUAUUCGAUUUUUAAUACAAAUUCAUAUCUAUUAAAUGAUAUA